rnacentral:rRNA from 1 species
GCCGAACGCUGGCGGCGUGCCUAAUACAUGCAAGUAGUACGCAGUUGCGAACGGGUGAGUAACGCGUAGGUAACUCCCUUUUAGAGGGGGAUAACUAUCGGAAACGAUAGCUAAUACCGCAUACUAGUAGAUGGACCUUCGUUGUAUUCGCUAGUAGGUAGGGUAAUGGCCUACCUAGGCAACGAUACAUAGCCGACCGGAGCGGGUGAGCGGCCACACGGGGACUGAGACGCGGCCCAGAGUCCUACGGUAGGCAGCAGUAAGGAAUCUUCGGCAAUGGGGGGAACCCUGACCGAGAAACGCCGCGUGAGUGAAGAGGGUUUUCGGAUCGUAAAGCUCUGUUGUUAAGGAAGCGGUACUUAACCAGAAAGGGACGGCUAACUACGUGCCAGCAGCCGCGGUAAUAC